UCCCCGAUGUAGCUCUUUCCUCCUCAGCAGUUUAUUCCCACUUAUUUCUCACCUCCACACAUGCUCAAAUAGUUUCUAAUUGCUCCAAGAAUUUCGCUUCACUUGGUCUCUAUUCUCCCAUCCGUUGAAUUGCUUUGAUCUUAUUUCUCAUAAUUUCCCACAGAUUCAUUCUCCAUCUCUCGAGUUCUCUUCCUCUCUCGCACAAUGCUCAUCUCCCUAUAGGUAUUCCUCUCUCCCUCUCUUAUUUUUAGUUUUGCUAAACAUGAAUCUUAUUCCCACCUUUCUUCAACUUCUUAACCGCAUUUCUUUUUCUUCACUUUUAGAAAUUUCACUCUCAUCAGACCCUCUUUCUCUCAUCCUCUUGGUCAUUUUUCUCAAUUGCAUUUCAUCUUUUCCAGUCAUCCUCUGUUGCUCUCUGCCUCUCUCGAAGUGCUUUGUUUUUGUGCUAUUGGGAUGCGUCUUCCACUCCACUAUAAUAUACCUCCUAAACAUAAAGCAACACGUGCGCCAUCCAUAUCCAUUAUCGACUCCCCAUGUGGUUCACUUGUCAUCAAUAGUGAGCUAAUAUCGCCAGAUCCAGAAUAAGCUGAUGUAAGUCAGCGUCGAAGUCGACACACUACGAAGGGUGUCUGCAUAGAGAAAGUAAGGAAAGUGGUAUCCUUACUUGCAUUGAUGGCAACAUUCUCCUGGGCUAAAGUUUCCCAAGAUGUGAAAGACCAUAUGAAACAAUGUUGCCUGGUAAUGAGCUAUAUCCCAAGAAACUAAGUAUAAUAUGUUGAUUUAAAAUUAGUUUGUAUUUAUACUAAUUGUUUAUAAUUUACGAAAGAAGGAGUUUGAAUUUAAUUUUGGUCGGUGAGAGGAUCGACUAACAGUUGAGGAGCUGAUGUUGAAUGCAUUCUGGAGGUAAAAAAGUCAAUGACAUGUACACUAUCAUAAGUUUAGUACUACGAUAGAGGUGCAUCAAAAUCCAUUCAAGCAAUGCCACCAAAUGAAUGGGAGAAAGUUUGUGAUAUGUUUGAAGAUCCUGGUUAUUAUGUAAUUUCGCUGCUAUCUUUUUUUAAUAGUAUAUGAUAGAUGUAUUAAACAUAUAGUUAUAAUAUUUUUUUUAGCAAUUGAGUACUA